rnacentral:rRNA from 1 species
CACGUAGUUAGCCGGGGCUUUCUUCUCAGGUACCGUCACCUUGAGAGCAGUUACUCUCCCAAGCGUUCUUCCCUGGCAACAGAGCUUUACGAUCCGAAAACCUUCAUCACUCACGCGGCAUUGCUCCGUCAGGCUUUCGCCCAUUGCGGAAGAUUCCCUACUGCUGCCUCCCGUAGGAGUCUGGGCCGUGUCUCAGUCCCAGUGUGGCCGAUCACCCUCUCAGGUCGGCUACGCAUCGUCGCCUUGGUGAGCCGUUACCUCACCAACUAGCUAAUGCGCCGCAGGCCCAUCCCCAAGUGACAGAUUGCUCCGUCUUUCCAGUUCUCUUCAGGCGAAGAAACAACUAUUCGGUAUUAGCUACCGUUCCGGUAGUUGUCCCAAACUUGAGGGCAGGUUGCCUACGUGUUACUCACCCGUCCGCCGCUAACCAUCAGAGAAGCAAGCUUCUCUUCAAGUCCGCUCGACUUGCAUGUAUUAGGCAUGCCGCCAGCGUUCGU